rnacentral:tRNA from 1 species
GGGAAUGUGGCUUAGUGGUAGAGUGCUUGCUUAGCAUGCAUGAAGUCCUGGGUUCGAUCCCUCAGUACCA